GACAGAGGGUGCAAACGUUGCUCGGAAUUACUGGGCGUAAAGCGCGUGUAGGCGGGAGAGAAAGUCGGGCGUGAAAUCCCUAGGCUCAACCUAGGAACUGCACUCGAAACUUCUUUUCUUGAGUGCCGGAGAGGAAAGCGGAAUACCUGGUGUAGAGGUGAAAUUCGUAGAUAUCAGGAGGAACACCUGCGGUGUAGACAGCUUUCUGGACCAUCACUGACGCUGAGACACGAAAGCGUGGGUAGCAAACAGG
rnacentral:rRNA from 1 species